GUGGAGACCCCGCUGGCUUGCCUGGCUGAAGUAAUCCCCUGUGACAGCUCGGCUCACGUUGUUAUGUUGUGGGCCUAUUUGAGUCUAAUACUACAGCUCUGGAACAGCCUAGCUCCAGUCCAGCUCUGGUCUGCCUGCAUGGCCGCUGGGCCUGGCCCAGUCCGGGCAUAGCGCCGUGCCAACAAUGCCCCGCCAUUUCAUGACGACGGCGCAUCAUUUCUAUGUUCUUUGUCACAGCUCCAGUGGGCACUGACUUCUGAUGUAACAUACAGCCGGAGACGGAGUGGAAAAUAAACCAACCUCAACUCAGCUCGCGUGAAGUUUUUAUAAGACCUCCUGCAGAUGCAGACAGCGCAUUUUCAACCGGACCCGUCCCUUCUCCAGAGAGACGGCCCGCUCCAGCAGAUCAUGCCCAGGAAAGAGGCUGCCCAGACAGGCAUGUCUCAGUGAGUAGCCCUCCCGAAGGAGGUGCUGCCAGAUCUCCCUCCAUAUACCUGGCACAUCACAGCCUCUCCUCCCCAUAGGAGGCUGGGGGCUGAAGACACAGGCAGGGAACUGCUGAUUAAAAAUUCAUCUCUCUGUUUAUUAUGAUUUAUGCAUGUUUCACUGAGCCAGGAACGGGAAAAAGGAGAGGAGAGAAGAACAGCUUCAUUAGUGCACAUUGUGUGUAUGUGUGUGUGGGUACUAUGACUAGGCCUGUUUGUGCACUCUUUGUGUGUGUGGCUAGCUGGCAGGUGGGGGGGAUAGUUAAAAUUAUGGAUUGUACGUGAGCUUCAUUAGAAUGUUUGGCAUACAGGGCAAAAUCGUCUGUCUUCACAAAACACCUGCAUUUCACUGGAAAACAACAACAAUUGAAAAUCCUAAAUUAUCCGGCGUGCACAGGGCCAUCGCCAUUAAAAUGCAGCCGGCACUUGUGCUAACUUCUACCUUGAUUACCCAUAUCCGCCUCUGUUGUUUACCGUUCAAAUCGCCUCGGCCACUCGUUGCACUUUCUCUCAGCCAAAACUGACGGCAGGAGUGCAAUGGUGACAAAUAUUGACACGUGGCGAGCGUGUCAACAGAAUAGUGGCGAAUAAGACCCCAAUAUGGGCCACCAGCACUCGGAUAUAACAACCGCAUGCGUUUCAGUUCCAACAGAUGCUGCAGCCACUGGUCAUAUGUUGCUUACGGUUUAUUGCAGUGAAAGCUGAAUGUAAAGAGCUUAAUAAUAUGGAGCAUAAAAUGAGCAGUGAACUGAGCGGCGCUUUCAAAUUAGCAUACACAAUUAAGUCCUACAAAUGUUCCAGCUUUUUAAGGGCCGACAACGGCGACUGAUAAUUUUGUUAUUUACACUGACAAUUGCUCACAUUGCUGCAGACACAGAUAUUAAACCUGCUCUAGGCAGUAUUUUUGCAUGAAAAAAUACUUACAUUU